CAGGGACCUGACAAGCGGCGUCAUGUUUGGAUGGCAGCAACAGUCCCUGGCCGGGGACACAGGAGGCACCCCACACAUGCAUCAGUCUAAGACUAAUUGGAGGUCAGUUGCGGACGCCAUCGCGAAUACAUCCAACCCUAUGUACGCCUCUUUUCUAGCUGGACCCAUCGUUCCGCCAGGUCUACCCGGGAGCCUUGUCGGACCAACUGGAAGACCAUCAACGGGCAGCGUUCACGCAGG